ACAACAUUUAGACCGUCUGUCUACCGAACAAUUUCACUCACUCGGUGGAAGAUCUUCUCUUUGUCGU
rnacentral:pre_miRNA from 1 species